CUGGUACUCUGUACUACUCUAGGGAUCGAGCGAGAAAAUGAGAUUCUGGCCAUGCAACCAUGCAUGCACGGCAAGAGGGGCCCGAUCCAACGUACGAUUGCGUGCCCAUCCGCUCAACACGUAGUCACGUACCGCUCUCAGAUGAACCGGACCGGAUAAGCGUGUGUGCAUCCAGCUAGAAGCGCGUGAGAACUGUCAGAGGCAUGAGGUAGGUGUCGAUUUGUUGGCUAAGUCGUUGGUCCCAACAAACCUAUGGGUAUUGUGUUAAUUAGAGCCGGUGAUCACGAUUCAAGUCAUAGGCUUACAAUGGAUGAUCAUAUUUACGUGAGCUUAUUUCAAUGUUUAUCCUACGUUGUUAUUUCAGUGAAAGUAACAUAUCGUUAACUACGAGACGACUGUGAUGACUUUGUCAAUCUCUGCUGGCCGAAAGUGCUCAUAAAAAAAUGACGUGCGUGUGUGCGUCUUCACAUGAGUGAAUGUAAGUGCAUAUUUGUGAGCGUUUGUACUAUGUUCCUAAAAAUAAUCAGGGCCGCCGAUCAAUGUUUCGUUCUUAGCCUUUUUUUUUUGAGGGAGUGUUUUGUUCUUCGCUAGUUUAAUUCGCUGCCCUAGUUUGAAAAACUAGCGGGAUGACCCGCGCAAAUUGCGGGCCUAGACUUGUAUAAUGAAAUAAUAUUUUUUAUGUUUUGUUUUCUAACAGAUUCAUUUUUUAUGAAAUUUAGAUGUCAUGUAUUUCGAAUGGUUCAAUGAUUUUUUGAAGAAAAAAAUUGUUAUAUUUGUACCAACCAAAAUAUAUGGUUUCAGACGCUUAGAUGGAUUUAAAUUCAUAACACAAUAUAUUGUAGAUUAUAUAUUCCAUACAUGUUUUCGCAAGAGAGUUUUAUUUUAUUAACAUUGUGUGCAAUACAAAAGUGUUGAGCUCCUAUAGAUAACAUAUGUGUUUUUUGUUGCAUUUCAAUUUGCGUGGCAUAUUUUGUUUAUUUUAGAAAAGUUUCAUUUUAGACGUCGGUUAUAGAAGUUUAGAUUUUUUUUAUCCUUAAUUAUUAUUAUUUUUGCAUGGAUGAUGCGGUAAGUAUUGGUUUCUAUCCGGCAAAAUUUGUAUCCAGAUGAAUUUUCAUAUAUGUUUUUUCAAGUUUGACACGAAAUUUCCCUUAUUCCAUAAUGUUGUUUCUGGUGCUGCUUUUGCGGUCGUGGUCGAGAAUCCGAUUUGGGUGCUACUACUGGCUGGCCGGUGGAUAUUGACAGAGGCAUGGAUUCGGCGAAGGUGCAUCUGCAGAUGCAUGGAAGACGAAUGUGCUUGAUAACCGUGUUUUUUUUCCGAUACACAUAGCAUCUACCCACAUUGUUUCCUUUUCUAUUUUUUUAAAAAUCUAUACCGUUUCAACAUCACGUGGUUGUGGCAUGUCAGGACGUCACAGGCGAUUGCGGUAGCUGGUUUCGGCUUGCUUUUUUCACUCGAGUCUUAAGAUCACAAAUAUAUGAUAAGUUUGCAUCAUUUACAAUUUUCCUUUUCUUCUUCUUUGUAGUUGAUUUAUGUCAUUGUUUUAAUUGAUUCUUAGAUUUUAAAUAUGGGGUUUUUUACUCUCACGGCGAAAGCCUGAAGGCCGUGUAUCGGCGUCCGAUACGGCUGGUCGGAUAUGGCAAUACGCCUAGCUACGCCUAGUAAGUAUUUUGCCGGUAUCCAGCCAGCGAGUUUCUUGUUUUUUUUCAUAAUAAUCGCCCCUACAUGACUCGAAUGAUUCAACUCUCUCACUCAUUACUCGCCUAGCGUUGCAACGCCGGCGGCUGCCUCUGUCUCUAUGAUUUGGGCGCCACUGCAGACCGCCGCUCCCCGUGCUCUUCACCGCUUUGCAGGUCCCUCGGUCUUCCUCUCUAUUGGUUGCAGCCGCCCGUUUGUGAAAGUUGGUACGUUUGGAUUGAUUCAGGUGGCGUGUGCGGAAGUUGACAUGAAAACCAAUUCAUGAACGCUUAUGUUCGUCUUGAUUUGGAUCAUGUAGAACUCUUUCCCUUUUUGAAUGCAAACCUUAGAUAUUCAUGUUGGUACAUCUAAUGCAGGUUUUGUUUAUUUUGUCGACGGAAAUAACCA
rnacentral:lncRNA from 1 species